rfam:Longilinea arvoryzae DNA, scaffold: Larv_scaffold_1, strain: KOME-1.
AUUGCCCUGCUGUGCUCGUGCUGCGGCAAGACCGGUUUUGAGCCAACACUUUUUAAAUGGGAUCCAUGAUCACGGUUGUGAUGCGUUAGGCUUCGGCCAAGGCAGAUCCCCCGUGGAGGUUCCCGGCCUGCGUUAGCAGGUUCAAAACUAUGCAGCACACGACACGGCGGGGUCUUU